GCCAUUUGCUCUCUCUCUCCAAUGAAAGUUUUGCGCUUUUAAAACAGGAAGAAAAAAAGAAAAAAACCCACACUUAUCAUUCUUGCUUUUCUUCUUGAGGUAUGCAUGUUUGUGCCUUAACUUCAGAAUAUAUCUUCAGGUGACUGAGCUGGAGGAGAAGCUUAAUGAAAAUACAGUAGAACCUCAUUGUUUCACACUUGUCACUGGGAGAUUCAGCGUACAUUUCUUCACUGUGACCAUUUUACAACAUUCAAGCACUGAGAGUUAGCCAGGAUGAUGCACUUCAAGAUACGCUCUGUUCUUACCAGUGUGUGGACAGCCUGCAUUUGAAUUGUGAAUUUUGCACACCCAUUUUAACAAAGAAGAUGCUGGAGACCUAGCUCCCCCUGCAGUCUAAGAUGUCUGAACCAUACGAUGACACUGUGUGACACUGCAGUGACACUGAUACAAAGGCCUCUGAUUAAGCAUAAAGGAUAUUCCUGGACCUUCAGGUACAUCUGUUCAUACAUCAGAUUG